AACGAACGCUGGCGGCGCGCCUAACACAUGCAAGUCGAACGAGAAGGCGUAGCAAUACGCUUGUAGAGUGGCGAACGGGUGAGUAAUACGUGGGUGACCUACCCUCGAGUGGGAAGUAACCCNCCGAAGGACGGGCGUAAUGCCGCGUACGCUUCCGUCCUCACGGGGACGGAAGGAAAGCUGUACCGUGGGUACGGCGCUCAAGGAUGGGCUCACGUCCUAUCAGCUUGUUGGUAGGGUAACGGCCACCAAGG
rnacentral:rRNA from 1 species